rnacentral:tRNA from 1 species
GAGGGUAUAGCUCAAGUGGUAGGUUACAUGCUUAGCAUGCACAAGGUCCUGGGUUCAAUCCCCAGUACCUCCA